rfam:Strigamia maritima strain Brora ctg7180001231679, whole genome shotgun sequence.
GUCAGGAUGGCCGAGCGGUCUAAGGCGCCAGACUCAAGCGAGAGCUUCUCGUGAUUUCGCGAGAUGUGUGAAUUCUGGUCCACGAAUGUGGGCGUGGGUUCAAAUCCCACUUCUGACA